GGCAGGAGUGCCUGUGGCAAGGCGGGAGCACAGGCUACGCUCACAAAGCUAACGGGGCAGUCAAAGAAGUUGCUCUCCCAGCUGUUUCUUCUCUUCCACUGGAGAUUACAGAUUAUCUGCCCUUUGUCAGUGGGAUGAGGCUGGCCUCCGUUUGAAUUCGAAAUGUGGAAACCUCUCUGCUCACUUGUCAGACGAGCUCUAGUUUGGAUGUCGCAAAUGCAGUUUGAUAUCUCCAGCAGACUGUCUCCUCUCUCUUCUGAGCUGUCUGCUGGAGCGAGUAAAAAGAAUUUAGGUAAAAGAAUGAAAAAGGCUAAACUGCUUAACCAUGAAGCAGGGCUGGGCUGAUAUAGGAUGCUGCUGUCUGUUAUAUUUCUAGGCUGCAGCAUCAGACUGAGGGUGAAAUAAGCUACAGUUUGCUUCAACUCACGGGGCUCCAAAGGUUCUGAUUUAUAGCUGCAUUUUACCCAUACAAAAUUUUCUCACGUUUCCCAUAUUUCUCAUAUUUCUUUUCUCUAUGUUCUUGUAUUGUCGAACCCAAACAAAUAAUUAAGCAGCAGAACAACAGUUCUUUUUUCUACUUGGUUUCUUAUAUUUGAGGCCGUAGGCGCACUUUUGCUCAUGUUUUUCAGUUAUUUGCCCCAAAUGUGAAAGCUAGAGAUGUAUUUGUUUAGAAACAAGCCCCGCAAAAUAAAAGCUGAGUGGCUCACCUCA
rnacentral:lncRNA from 1 species